AAAAACAUUUCUUAUAAAAUUUACUAUAAGUAAAAUCUGCUCAAUGAUCAAUUAAAUAGCCGCAGAAAUUUAACUGUGCUAAGGUAGCAUAAUCAUUAACCUUUUAAUUAAAGGUCUGAAUGAAAGAUUUAACAUUUAAAUUACUUUUUUAUUAAUAUUUAUUGAAAUUUAACUAAAAAUAAAAAUGUUUUUAUAAAAAAAAAAGACGACAAGACCCUGUUGAGCUUAACUAUAGUUAAGCUGGGGCAGCUAAUUAAUAAUAAUUUUAAUAAUAAAUUUUUAAUAAGUUUCUAAUAAAAUUAAUACUGAACAAGCUACCACAGGGAUAACAGCGUAAUAAAUCUCUAAAGUUCUUAUUUAAAGAAAAGUUUACGACCUCGAUGUUGAAUU
rnacentral:rRNA from 1 species